rnacentral:rRNA from 1 species
UACAGAGGGUGCAAGCGUUAAUCGGAAUUACUGGGCGUAAAGCGUGCGUAGACGGUUAUGUAAGUCAGGUGUGAAAGCCCAGGGCUCAACCUUGGAAUUGCAUUUGAGACUGCAUAGCUAGGGUGCGGAAGAGGGAAGCGGAAUUUCCGGUGUAGCGGUGAAAUGCGUAGAUAUCGGAAGGAACACCAGUGGCGAAAGCGGCUUCCUGGUCCGGCACCGACGUUCAGGCACGAAAGCGUGGGGAGCAAACAGG